rnacentral:rRNA from 1 species
AAAAGAAAGUAAAUAAGGGCGCAUGGCGGAUGCCUUGGCUCUCGGAGGCGAUGAAGGACGUGAUAAGCUGCGAUAAGCUUCGGGUAGGUGCAAAUGACCUUUGAUCCGAAGAUUUCCGAAUGGGACAACCCGGCAUUCUGAAGGAAUGUCAUCCAACCUGGUUGGAGGCUAACGCAGGGAACUGAAACAUCUUAGUACCUGCAGGAAAAGAAAAUAAAUAAUGAUUCCCCUAGUAGUGGCGAGCGAACGGGGAUUAGCCCAAACCACCCAUGUUACGGCAUGUGUGGGGUUGUAGGACCACGCUCUCGCAAGACAGUUAUUGAGAAGAAACGACUGGAAAGUCGUGCCAUAGACGGUGAUAGCCCGGUAUUCUAAGGUAACCGAAGCGUAGUGGUAUCCUGAGUAGCGCGGAGCACGAGGAAUUCUGCGUGAAUCAGCCGGGACCAUCCGGUAAGGCUAAAUACUCCCGAGAGACCGAUAGCGAACCAGUACUGUGAAGGAAAGGUGAAAAGCACUUCGAAUAGAAGAGUGAAAUAGUCCCUGAAACCAUGCGCCUACAAGCGGUCGGAGCAGCUUAAGUUGUGACGGCGUGCCUUUUGCAUAAUGAACCUACGAGUUACUUUUUCCGGCAAGGUUAAGCAUCUUGAGAUGUGGAUCCGAAGCGAAAGCGAGUCUGAACAGGGCGGAUAGUCGGAAGGAGUAGACGCGAAACCAAGUGAUCUACCCUUGGGCAGGUUGAAGGU